GCAUUUCUGUUUCUGAUGCGUGUUUGGAAAGAUAUACGCUCUCGUAGCUCACACAGCUUGUUCUUUCUGCAAGGUAGCCAGUAACAUGCUGGGAGGUCAGAUAGCCCACUGUCUCUACUAGUCCUACUCCAACUACAAAGCCCACGUGUCUCCUUCUCCGCUGGUGGAUCUUUAGGUCGGGUUAUUCUGAGAGGGGAUCCAGAGUGGUGUACUGAAAGUUACGAUUAUAUGAGAUGGAUAAAAUACAGCAUAAUCCACAAUUAAUAACAGAAUCACCAAUCAGUAAUACGCCUUGAUGCAUGCUCAAUUAUCCAGGCGACUGAUGGGAGGAGGAGAGUCUGAUGGAGGAGCAGCUCAGCCACUGCAGUGAGAUCUGUUCUUCAUAAAAGGCAAAAGAAGGAAAAGCAAGCCAAAACCUCUGCACACCGAUGACCUAAAAAUAACCCACCCAAGGCCAACAAGUACAGAUAAACCAGUUGUGAUCCCUGUGGAAAAGACUUUUACCACUAUGAAGCAAGCCAGAAGACACCAGCGCACCGAUAGUGGG